rnacentral:rRNA from 1 species
GUCUACGGUCAUGCCACCCUAAACAAGCCCUAUGUCUGAUCUUGGAAGCUAAGCAGGUUUGGGCCUGGUUAGUACUUAAAUGAGAGACCAACUAGGAAGACCAGGUGCUGUAGGCA